rnacentral:misc_RNA from 1 species
GGGAUGCAUCGAUAGCAUUCGACGUCUCGGUUAAUGGGACAAAAAUCCUUUGAUGAUUAACAUGUUAUAAGUUGAUUGCAAUGAACGGAAAGUCAGGUACAGUGUAAUCGAAAAGAUCGGGGUGGAUCAAGAUAGUCAGAUACGGUAUAGUAGUAAAAACAUUCCAACAAACUUUGGGGCAUAGUUAGUGUCUAUAUAGACAGGCAUAUUUGCAUAUACAAAAGCCCUACAACUAAAAGGCAUACAACUCGACGCUAGAUCGUGUUGCUCUGGCAUCUCUCACGGCCACCUAUACCGACUCGGAGGGCGAAGACGGGG